UUGGGAAAGGUGACGAACUGCUUGCUACAGAGAUGUUACUGACACAGAGCUGCCCUUGGUUUGAAAGCUGGUGCAGAAAUUACCCCAUGCAAUUGUUGGAAAGUCAGAGCUGUCAUGAGCUGAAGAAGCAAGUGGAAAGUGCAGAACUAAAAAACCAGCGCCUGAAGGAGAUUUUUCAGACCAAGAUCCAGGAGUUUCGCAAGGUCUGUUACACACUCACUGGGUACCAGAUCGACAUCACCACUGAGAACCAGUAUCGACUCACCUCCAUUUACGCCGAGCACCAAGGAGACUGCCUGCUCUUUAAGACUGGAAUGUCGUUGCCAUGCUGCUGUGUGACAGGCUGUUCCUUAUGAGGAAAGUAAAGAUGCUUUCUUCUUUCGGGAAAAAGCUUCCAUAGAUUUCGCAUCUGGUCUCCCCCUUGUAUAUCAACGUAACUCGGAGUAAAGAGAAGAGGCUGUAUAUGCAUUAUAGCUAAGGCAUCUGGCCUUGCACUUCACCUUUUUUAUCAUCUGUUAUAUAUUCCGUGGCAAUAAAACCUUAUGCAACCAUCUAGAUUUCAUCUUGACUUCACUGUACGUCCUUACUGUCUUAGCUGCCCUCUAGCUCGUCUGCAUGUCGUCAUCAUGUCUUUAUGUAAAUUGGUGCCCCUUUCGAGGAGCGACUCAUUCUGUGUGUCUGAAGUUUAUACAAGCAGCUCAGAUGAAUUGCAAUAGCAGUGUCUUCUGUGUGUCUGAUACUGUACUGGUCCAGCCAGAGAGUCUGAGUUUGUGUUGGGCUGAAUGCAUUAGAGAGCUGAGGUGUGACAUUGGAGUCAUUGAGUGGUUAAGCUGCAUCUUUAAUUGCUUAGGUUCGCAUAUCAAUAGGUUAGUGGGAGAACUUCUUACUUCUCAGCAGCAAACACAAUUGGCACUUAAGACCAUUCCUGCUUGCCACUGACUCCCCUCCAGCGUAUUGUUAGGAGGAUGAGGAUUUUGGAAACAUUCAUUACAUAAGCAGGAACUGGAGAAGUUCACUUUCUGCAGACCUACUGCUGUGUGGAUUGCUGCAAGAUUGUUUCUUGACAUAACAGGACAAAUAUUUUUCUGCUCUGCAGCUUCAGAGCCUCAGAAACGGAACAAAGAAACCACCAAGUGAAACCAGCAAGGAUAAGUAUAAGACAGCACCUUGGAUCAUUAGUAAAACUAGGAAAAUAUCACUAAAGUGGUUAUAUUGCUUGGCCUUAUCAGGACUGAAACAGAUGGCAGCAGGCAAACUCAAAGUCUGUGGAGAAGGGAGAACUCUUGGUUUUCAGGUACUGUCGUUGAAUCUUGAGAAGAGCUAGCUGAGGGGGUGCUGUGCUGUUAGCUCUAAGGCCUCCCCAGGCCUGUGUUCACACCUGCUUUGUUACAUGCUUAGUGAAUGAAACUUCUGCAUGUCCCUGGAGGUGUCUAUUGGCAUGGCAAGACAGAGCAUUUAGCAGCUUUUCCUGUGAUGUAGGAGAAAUGGUGCAGUUGAAGAGUUAAGAUAUAAGGAAAUAUGGCCCACUGGAGCCGUAAAUCAGUAGUACAUCUCCAGUAGGAUCAAAUUCUUCUUUGUGUCACUGCAAUAGAAAUAACUUACGUACAGGACAGUGAGUGAUCAGGUACAGAUUUCUCUCUUUAAAUGCUGUUUUUGCUUUCUGUUGUUCACUUGAUUAUUCCCAAGUCCAUCCAGAGGACAGAGGUAAGGGUUGCCAGGGAAAGCAGCAGUAGUUCUGACUUCCUCACGGAAUCCAGGCAGGUAGUGUUCGUGUAUGUACUGAGUCUUGCAUUCUGACUGGGUUUCUGGUGAUAUUGUGUGAUUAUGCAGCAGAAUUACUAAGCUUACCGUGGGCGUUAGUGUGCAUUUCAUUAACCCAAAGAGGUCAAAAAGCAGAGAAUGCUAUUUGUAUUUAUUCCAUUUGAGCAGUUUAUGGAACAAAGUCUAUACAAUUAAACUGCAGAAGUCCCCCAGCACUUUUCAAGCUUCCAUCUUUUCUCUGUAAACUUCAGAACAUCUUUCAGUAGUGCUGCUGGUGGCAUUUAAUUUCAGUGAGGAUGUAAUGGGAGCUACUAUAAUGUAACCCCUUCAAAGCUAAAUGAAGAUGAAAGAUGUGCUUGGUUUUCCCAAGCAACAAGGCGUGCUGUUGCUGUAGUAAAAGGUCUGCAUCCAGCCAAUUUGCUUUAAAUGGAAUCACAGCUUCGUUGAAAGGGUUAAUCACUGUGCCAUGCUGAGAAUACAAAUGACUGCAUCCUAAAUGAGCACUGAAUUCCAAUGAAAGCGUAUCAAUAUUUAUUGGCAAUCCCUAUGGAUACAACAGAUGAGCUCAUCAACUUGAAGGAUGUUCCAGUGAUUUUUCAGACCUUCUGUGUGAGUGCGUAGGCAGCAAGGCACAUCUCGGAUUUCACAGCUCACUCUCACUUGUUUGCUCUUUUUCAUUCUUUUAAUUAAAUGCUGUGAAAAGUGGCACACAGAAUCCUCACCAGCAGUUUAGUUUCUGAUUAUUUUUAUGGGAAGCAAUGUGUUAUAGUUAUUGGGUCACUUGACAGCUUCAUCUUCAGUUAGUGCUGUCGAUACAUUAGAUGUGUUGGGCCGUAAUACAGACCUGGCAUUCCACAUGCUGCUUGGUUUGUGAGUCUAGGCCAGGCCACCCAUGAGAUAUCCAGGAACUGCAUUGCUCACUUGGUAGCAAUCUAUCGGAGACGUCUUAUUAAAACAAACAAGCAUUGCUAGGGAACAUAAAAAUAGGUUUUACCAGCUUGGAAUUAAGCAGCGGCAAAUCAGGAUGUCAUUUUUUGGCAGUGUCUGUAUCAGGCUGUUUACCAUUGCCUCUGGGUAGACCCUGAAUGAGAGUAAGGCAGUGAGGUCUUUAGAAAAGCAAUGACAAUUGAUUCACACAAAGAAAGUCUUUUGGUAAACAGAAAGACUGGUCAAAUUUGAAGAGGAGAUGAUUUGGAGACACUUGUACAAAUGAACAAACAGCGCAGAGAAAAUAAAUCAUAGGCCUUUUCUUUUUGUGUGCCCAGAGAACACAGUCUGGACCCAAGCAUUUAAUGUCAAUCAAUUUUAAAACUAGGAGUGGAAGGCUUGAAUUUAUAGACCCUGUUGCUUUGAGGUACUGCUGAAAGCAAGAGCUCUGUGGGUUUUCUGAAAUGGUGAAGUGUCUUUAUGGACAAACAGUAAUGCCUAGGUUUGCAUAAAAUAUUUAUAUUUACCCUAAGUAGGAUUUGGGAAGUCAAGCUGGCCUCUUCCUGUAGAGAUUAAGAAGAAAAUUCCUGUGCUUGCUGGUUAUUUUUUGGGCUGUCUGUACAUGAAUAGUUUUGCCACUGCUGCGUCUGACAACAUUCAGCUUCAUCCUCUGGCAGUACUUGGGAAUGAAGACUUGAAUGAAGAGGAGAGAGCAAGAAGAGUCAUCAGAGAGAAAUCUGCCUUGUGUUUCACUUGCUUGAUAAUUCACUGUGCUCAACUGUUUCCACCACUGUGGCAUGAAUGUAGAGCUGGUCACUUGUGUUGAUAGGAUCCUGGACUGUAAAGGCAGUUGAUCUGAUAUAACAGCUCUGUGAGAUCUGGCAGCGUUCGAAAUCUUUCGAGUUACUCUGUGCUCCCAGAAAGUGCUCAGGUUUCUCCCUGGUUCAGGUAUAUCUGGGCCUGAGUUGUUCGGUAAGGAAGUAAAUCAGAUUAUUUUCAGUAUCACAGUGGUGUGUGUCUGAGCUUAUUAAUAGUCCUGGCCAAAAAGCUGCAUUUAGGCAGCUCAGCAGCUUAUGUUUGUUGUAUUUUCUGUAUCCUUAGAGCCUAGUCUUCCACAGAAGAGAUUUGUCUGUUUCCAGCUCUUGCCCAUGUUGUUGUUAUUUUCUGCCAGUAUUAUCAAGUGGAAGCACAAACACCAGCGGUAGCUCAUUGAAGAGCAUCCCCAAGAUGGUAGGCUUCAUGCCUUGAAAGAGAAUGCCCAAGACAUGAGACAGCAAAUAAAAACAGAAGCGUCAUGACAGAGCAUGAGAAUGUUGCCAGCCUCGGGGCUGUCACUUCUGCCAAAUAAAACCUUUAUUGGUGUCCAGUUGGAUUGAUAAUAUGGUAAUAAAAUGAACAGCUUUUUAGCAGCCUGUUAAAUUAACAGCCACUGCACACACAGUCUUUGCACACUUGCUUAAGGAGUUCUUCAAGGCAAUCUGAAAAGCGAAUGUUGUUUUUGAUGUGGUUCACAGUGUAUUAAAGAGGCAGAACUUAGAGAGCGAAGGGGAUAAAGGCGGUGCUGCUUUGGGGAUCCUCUGAUGGAAGAGGAGUGUGGUGGAAGGACAGAUACAAGCUGUGUGUUAGCAAAAGGUGUGGAAUGUGAAAGACGUAAGACAGUAACAGUGCAAUUCAUGAGGAUACAUAGAAGGGUGGUCCCAGUGCAGCCUUGAAGGUCUGGGAGUAUGUCAGCCACUGAUUGCUGGCAGGUGGGAGUUGGUAUGUAGUGACAGACUGCCUCAGGCUUGUUUGUCUUUGCUUCAUUUCCACACUCCUUUCCCUGAACAUCUGUCUUGGUGGCUAUUUGGAGGCAGGAUGGUGGGUGAGGUGGCCUUACAGCAGUUCUUAUCAUUAAGAACAACUGGGGCUGCGUAGAAACCUGAGGUAGGUAGAUAGGUAAAUCGUGACAAGGUGUGCAAAAUGCAGGAGGGCAGUUCUGUGAACAAAAAGCGAUGGUUUAAUUGUCUGCCCUUAAGGAGGGAAAUAAGGAUGGAUAGAACGAGAACCUGGAGGCUAUUUUCGAAGUACAAAACAGUGCUGACAAAGUGCUAGCUGAAAGGAGGCAAAACUGAGGUGGUUAAGCAUGCAGAGGAUGCCCUGUGCCCUAAGGCUGCUGAAAUGAUGGUGCAGCCUUAGCAUCACGUUUGCCACAGUGCCCCACUGACAAUGUAUGUCUCAAAAUUAGCAGGAAGGUUACUACAGGGAUUGCCUUGACUUGCCUGAGUGGUUCUGUUUGGAGCAGAGGCUGACAGCACUGCUGGGAGCUCUGGGUCUGGUCCUCGUGCUUGGCAUCCCUGUAGUUGCCAUUAAUUCCUCCUUGAGCCCAGCAGAGUAUCUUUGAGAAGCACGUUCUAGCUGUUUGUUUCUUUUUGCAUCUCUAUCUACUCAGAUAUCCUCUCUUCCUCCUCAGUCCUGAUAGUCUUGAGAGGAGAAAGAAAUCAUAAUUUCGUACAGUGCUUUUCUUUCAGCAACUGUCUCGCACUCCUGCACACAAUCAGAAAUAACAAUGGGGCUCAUCGGUGGAGCAGGCCAGGCAGCAAGAGGUUGAUUAGAGAUUGCAGGCCUCUGCUAACCCCUCAUUCUUGUUAAUUACAAGUUAUUUCAUUUUUGUAUUUUGUUUCCUAUUUGCCCGUGUGGUUACUGGAGAUGCUGGCCAUGCCUGUGUGAUGGUGAUACCUUGCAGGGAUUCCUGCAGGUUCAGCUCUAAUCUGCAGCUCUAAAAGCAGAGCUGUCCUCUAAUCUGUACUGUUUCAGGAUCAAAUGCUGCAUUUAAACUUCCUACAUUUCAUUUUCGUCCAGAAGUUUUAGCGACCUAUUUCAUGUUAGGACCUGGCUUCAAUUCUUGUUUCUGUCUUCAUUUUAUUUUGCUCUUUUUCAUGCCUUUUUUUUCCCCUCUUGACGUGGUUUCUCUUCUGUAUGUUCUUCCCU